rnacentral:lncRNA from 1 species
GGAGGUGCAGAGAAUAUUUAGUGGUGGAGGAGAGAGCAACCCUCAAGAUAAUAAAGUAAGUGAGUUACAUUUAUUAAAUAUUUGACUUAACUACUGAUUGGUAAUUGAACCCUAACUUGAGCAUGAGAGUGCCUAUAGGAGGUAUUCAUCCAAGGAUUUGAACUAUUUGAAAGAAGGGUGGACAAAACUAAAGAACUCAAAA